UGGCGAACGGGUGAGUAACACGUGAGUAACCUGCCCUUAACUCUGGGAUAAGCCUGGGAAACUGGGUCUAAUACCGGAUAUGACUCCUCAUCGCAUGGUGGGGGGUGGAAAGCUUUAUUGUGGUUUUGGAUGGACUCGCGGCCUAUCAGCUUGUUGGUGAGGUAAUGGCUCACCAAGGCGACGACGGGUAGCCGGCCUGAGAGGGUGACCGGCCACACUGGGACUGAGACACGGCCCAGACUCCUACGGGAGGCAGCAGUGGGGAAUAUUGCACAAUGGGCGAAAGCCUGAUGCAGCGACGCCGCGUGAGGGAUGACGGCCUUCGGGUUGUAAACCUCUUUCAGUAGGGAAGAAGCGAAAGUGACGGUACCUGCAGAAGAAGCGCCGGCUAACUACGUGCCAGCAGCCGCGGUAAUACGUAGGGCGCAAGCGUUAUCCGGAAUUAUUGGGCGUAAAGAGCUCGUAGGCGGUUUGUCGCGUCUGCCGUGAAAGUCCGGGGCUCAACUCCGGAUCUGCGGUGGGUACGGGCAGACUAGAGUGAUGUAGGGGAGACUGGAAUUCCUGGUGUAGCGGUGAAAUGCGCAGAUAUCAGGAGGAACACCGAUGGCGAAGGCAGGUCUCUGGGCAUUAACUGACGCUGAGGAGCGAAAGCAUGGGGAGCGAACAGGAUUAGAUACCCUGGUAGUCCAUGCCGUAAACGUUGGGCACUAGGUGUGGGGGACAUUCCACGUUUUCCGCGCCGUAGCUAACGCAUUAAGUGCCCCGCCUGGGGAGUACGGCCGCAAGGCUAAAACUCAAAGGAAUUGACGGGGGCCCGCACAAGCGGCGGAGCAUGCGGAUUAAUUCGAUGCAACGCGAAGAACCUUACCAAGGCUUGACAUGAACCGGAAAUACCUGGAAACAGGUGCCCCGCUUGCGGUCGGUUUACAGGUGGUGCAUGGUUGUCGUCAGCUCGUGUCGUGAGAUGUUGGGUUAAGUCCCGCAACGAGCGCAACCCUCGUUCUAUGUUGCCAGCGCGUUAUGGCGGGGACUCAUAGGAGACUGCCGGGGUCAACUCGGAGGAAGGUGGGGACGACGUCAAAUCAUCAUGCCCCUUAUGUCUUGGGCUUCACGCAUGCUACAAUGGCCGGUACAAAGGGUUGCGAUACUGUGAGGUGGAGCUAAUCCCAAAAAGCCGGUCUCAGUUCGGAUUGGGGUCUGCAACUCGACCCCAUGAAGUCGGAGUCGCUAGUAAUCGCAGAUCAGCAACGCUGCGGUGAAUACGUUCCCGGGCCUUGUACACACCGCCCGUCAAGUCACGAAAGUUGGUAACACCCGAAGCCGGUGGCCUAAC
rnacentral:rRNA from 1 species